rnacentral:rRNA from 1 species
GCUCAGAUUGAACGCUGGCGGCAUGCUUUACACAUGCAAGUCGAACGGUAACAGCACUUCGGUGGCUGACGAGUGGCGAACGGGUGAGUAAUACAUCGGAACGUGCCUAGUAGUGGGGGAUAACUACUCGAAAGAGUAGCUAAUACCGCAUGAGAUCUACGGAUGAAAGCAGGGGACCUUCGGGCCUUGUGCUACUAGAGCGGCUGAUGGCAGAUUAGGUAGUUGGUGGGAUAAAAGCUUACCAAGCCGACGAUCUGUAGCUGGUCUGAGAGGACGACCAGCCACACUGGGACUGAGACACGGCCCAGACUCCUACGGGAGGCAGCAGUGGGGAAUUUUGGACAAUGGGCGCAAGCCUGAUCCAGCAAUGCCGCGUGCAGGAUGAAGGCCUUCGGGUUGUAAACUGCUUUUGUACGGAACGAAAAGCCUUCUUCUAAUACAGGAGGGUCAUGACGGUACCGUAAGAAUAAGCACCGGCUAACUACGUGCCAGCAGCCGCGGUAAUACGUAGGGUGCAAGCGUUAAUCGGAAUUACUGGGCGUAAAGCGUGCGCAGGCGGUCUUGUAAGACAGAGGUGAAAUCCCCGGGCUCAACCUGGGAACUGCCUUUGUGACUGCAAGGCUGGAGUACGGCAGAGGGGGAUGGAAUUCCGCGUGUAGCAGUGAAAUGCGUAGAUAUGCGGAGGAACACCGAUGGCGAAGGCAAUCCCCUGGGCCUGUACU